UUUCCGAAGGGGUAAACCCAGGGUAACUUGGGGACACAAAGCUACGGAUCCUGUAAAUACAGGACAGCCGGGUUGGCGAG
rnacentral:ncRNA from 1 species